CAGCUAAAUCGUUAGUGAUUUUGACCUGGAGUUUAUGGCAACUAUGACGUUAGGCAACUGCAAUGGUUUGACGUCAUGAACGAACGAAAAGUACCCAAGGAUAAUUUGUUAAAGAAGUAUUUUGGGCGUGCAGCUUCAGAAACUGAAUUCCUUACUGAAUGGUACAUGGUAGAGAGAUUUGGCUUCAUUUACUGUCAGUCAUUUCCUCUGCUUGUACUUUUCAGUUUAGCCUGAACCUGAAGAGUAACAACUGAAUCAACAGAAGUAUGGAUCUGUAUGAUGUUUCAAGGGUUUUCAUCUGUAAGAGAUUUCAUUGGGUCCCUAACUCUUGAGAAGGCUGUGGUUUCUUCCCGUAACUCAAAGGUUAUAGCCGGUUUUUUCAGGACUUUGAGUACAG